GGAGUUAGCCGGUGCUUCUUCUGUGAGUGAUGUCCUUCCUGCCGGCUAUUAACCCGCAGGCCUUCUUCCUCACUGAAAGUGCUUUACAACCCGAAGGCCUUCUUCACACACGCGGCAUGGCUGGAUCAGGGUUGCCCCCAUUGUCCAAUAUUCCCCACUGCUGCCUCCCGUAGGAGUCUGGGCCGUGUCUCAGUCCCAGUGUGGCUGAUCAUCCUCUCAGACCAGCUACGGAUCGUCGCCUUGGUGAGCCGUUACCUCACCAACCAGCUAAUCCGACAUAGGCUCAUCCGAUAGCGCGAGGCCCGAAGGUCCCCCGCUUUCCCCCGUAGGGCGUAUGCGGUAUUAGCCUGGGUUUCCCCAGGUUAUCCCCCACUACCGGGCAGAUUCCUAUGCAUUACUCACCCGUCCGCCGCUCGCCACCAGGGAGCAAGCUCCCCGUUCUGCCGCUCGACUUGCAUGUGUUAGGCCUGCCGCCAGCGUUCAAUCUGAGCCAGAAUCAAACUCUGA
rnacentral:rRNA from 1 species